AGGAUGAACGCUGGCGGCGUGCCUAAUACAUGCAAGUCGAACGAGUUCUGAUUAUUGAAAGGUGCUUGCAUCUUGAUUUUAAUUUUGAACGAGUGGCGGACGGGUGAGUAACACGUGGGUAACCUGCCCUUAAGUGGGGGAUAACAUUUGGAAACAGAUGCUAAUACCGCAUAAAUCCAAGAACCGCAUGGUUCUUGGCUGAAAGAUGGCGUAAGCUAUCGCUUUUGGAUGGACCCGCGGCGUAUUAGCUAGUUGGUGAGGUAACGGCUCACCAAGGCAAUGAUACGUAGCCGAACUGAGAGGUUGAUCGGCCACAUUGGGACUGAGACACGGCCCAAACUCCUACGGGAGGCAGCAGUAGGGAAUCUUCCACAAUGGACGCAAGUCUGAUGGAGCAACGCCGCGUGAGUGAAGAAGGCUUUCGGGUCGUAAAACUCUGUUGUUGGAGAAGAAUGGUCGGCAGAGUAACUGUUGUCGGCGUGACGGUAUCCAACCAGAAAGCCACGGCUAACUACGUGCCAGCAGCCGCGGUAAUACGUAGGUGGCAAGCGUCAUCCGGAUUUAUUGGGCGUAAAGCGAGCGCAGGCGGUUUUUUAAGUCUGAUGUGAAAGCCCUCGGCUUAACCGAGGAAGUGCAUCGGAAACUGGGAAACUUGAGUGCAGAAGAGGACAGUGGAACUCCAUGUGUAGCGGUGAAAUGCGUAGAUAUAUGGAAGAACACCAGUGGCGAAGGCGGCUGUCUGGUCUGUAACUGACGCUGAGGCUCGAAAGCAUGGGUAGCGAACAGGAUUAGAUACCCUGGUAGUCCAUGCCGUAAACGAUGAAUGCUAGGUGUUGGAGGGUUUCCGCCCUUCAGUGCCGCAGCUAACGCAUUAAGCAUUCCGCCUGGGGAGUACGACCGCAAGGUUGAAACUCAAAGGAAUUGACGGGGGCCCGCACAAGCGGUGGAGCAUGUGGUUUAAUUCGAAGCAACGCGAAGAACCUUACCAGGUCUUGACAUCUUUUGAUCACCUGAGAGAUCAGGUUUCCCCUUCGGGGGCAAAAUGACAGGUGGUGCAUGGUUGUCGUCAGCUCGUGUCGUGAGAUGUUGGGUUAAGUCCCGCAACGAGCGCAACCCUUAUGACUAGUUGCCAGCAUUUAGUUGGGCACUCUAGUAAGACUGCCGGUGACAAACCGGAGGAAGGUGGGGAUGACGUCAAAUCAUCAUGCCCCUUAUGACCUGGGCUACACACGUGCUACAAUGGAUGGUACAACGAGUUGCGAGACCGCGAGGUCAAGCUAAUCUCUUAAAGCCAUUCUCAGUUCGGACUGUAGGCUGCAACUCGCCUACACGAAGUCGGAAUCGCUAGUAAUCGCGGAUCAGCACGCCGCGGUGAAUACGUUCCCGGGCCUUGUACACACCGCCCGUCACACCAUGAGAGUUUGUAACACCCGAAGCCGGUGGCGUAACCCUUUUAGGGAGCGAGCCGUCUAAGGUGGGACAAAUGAUUAGGGUG
rnacentral:rRNA from 1 species